GGAAUCUUGCACAAUGGGGGAAACCCUGAUGCAGCGACGCCGCGUGAGCGAUGAAGCCCUUCGGGGUGUAAAGCUCUUUCAGCGGGGACGAUAAUGACGGUACCCGCAGAAGAAGCUGCGGCUAACUACGUGCCAGCAGCCGCGGUAAUACGUAGGCAGCAAGCGUUGUUCGGAGUUACUGGGCGUAAAGAGUGUGUAGGCGGUUCCGUAAGUUCGGUGUGAAAUCUCCCGGCUCAACUGGGAGGGUGCGCCGGAAACUGCGGUGCUUGAGCGUGGGAGAGGGAAGCGGAAUUCCUGGUGUAGCGGUGAAAUGCGUAGAUAUCAGGAGGAACACCGGUGGUGUAGACGGCUUCCUGGACCACUGCUGACGCUGAGACACGAAAGCGUGGGGAGCA
rnacentral:rRNA from 1 species